rnacentral:rRNA from 1 species
CGUUCUCAGUUCGGAUCGCAGUCUGCAACUCGACUGCGUGAAGGUGGAGUCGCUAGUAAUCGCGGAUCAGCAACGCCGCGGUGAAUGCGUUCCCGGGCCUUGUACACACCGCCCGUCAAGUCAUGAAAGUGGGCAGCACCCGAAGACGGUGGCCUAACCCUUGUGGGGGGAGCCGUCUAAGGUGAGGCUCGUGAUUGGGACUAAGUCGUAACAAGGUAAC